GUUUCUAUGUAUUGAGACCUACUGUGUGCCAGCCAUGGUUGUAGACACUCUGGUCAUAUCAGUGAACAAAACAAAUUCCUUUCCCUCAUAAGGUUUACAUUUUUGUGUGUGAGUUGGGGAGGACAGAAAAUAUACACACAUAGGUGUAAAUAUAUGUUGGAUGUUUAGACGAACUAUGAAAAAAUAAAGCAGGGAAGAGGGUUCCAGAGGCGGAGGAGGAUAGCACUUUUCAAUAAGGUGCAGAGCCUCACUGCUUCGGUGACAUCUAACGGACUUGAGAGAGAUGAAGGAGGGACAUUCAAACAGAUGCAACAGCAAGGACCGAAGGCCUUGAAGCGAGAGGGCACCUGGCUGUUUUAGGAACAACAAGGUGGCCAGUUUGGCUGGAACGAACUGAGUAGGGAAAGAGCAGCAGGAGAUGCUGUUUGAAAGGUUGUGGGGCCAGGUCAUAUAAGGCACAGGGCCUCCAAAUGUGGCCUCAAGUCCAACGGCAUCGAUGUCACAUAAGAACUUGCUAGAAAUGCAAAUUAUUGGGGCCCUCCCCAGACCUACUGGGUCAGAAACCAUGGGAGCCAGUUCCAGCUGUCUGUGUUUGAACAAGCCCUCCAGGUGAGGCAGAUGCUGUGGCAGUAUGAGAACCACUACUGGAAGGCCUCCUGAGAAGCUCAGUCGGGAGGCUAUUAUUGUAAUACAGGUGAGGAACGAUGGUGGCUUAGAUCAGAGUGGCAGCAGUGGAAGUAAUGAGUACUCAGACUCUGCAACUAUUCUGAAGUUAGAUCUAUCAAGACUUUCUGAUGGAUUUGAUGCAGGGUGUAAGAAAAGGAACUUGAAGGAUGCAGUUUCCAUUUGCUAAGGUGGGGGAGAUGUGGGGAGCAAGACGUUUCCCCAAGGAGGGGGAUCAGGAAUCUGCUUUGGAGCACGUUAACUAUGAGAUGCCUCUUUGAGAUCUAAAUGGAGAUGCUGACUGGGUUCAGGGGAAAGGCUGGACCUCUAAGUGCGUGAGCUAUUGGUGAUAGAUGCUGUUUAAAGCCCUCACAUCUCUCUCUCUCUUUGGUCACACCUGUGGCAUGUGAAAGUCCCCAGGCCAGGGACUGAACCCGAGCCACAGCAGUGACAACUUUGGAUCCUUAACCUGCUGAACUCCCAUAAACCCCUCAGAUCUCUUAGGAAGGGAAUGGAGAUGAAAAAGAGAAGUUCAAGGGAGACCCUGGGGCACUCCAACAUCAGAAGGAAGUAGAAAGACUGGUAAAGGAUUUCAAGAGAUAGGGAGGAGUCAGCUGUCCAAGUGGCUGACUGCACAAGGAACGUGAGGACUGAGAAUUCACUGCGAAUUUAGCAGCAUGGAGGUCACGGUGGACCACACUGACUGAGAACAGUGUUAGCAGAGGGGUUGGGAGGGGCAGAGGCCUGUUUGUGGAAUGGGAAGACAGGAAUUGGAGACACAGGACAAUUCUUUUAUGAAAUUUUGCUGUAAAGGACAGGCGUUGGAGAAUAGAGUCAAGAAAGAUUUAUUUUUAAAUAUGAGAGAAAUAAUCACAUGUUUCUGUCUUUGUUGGGAAAGUUCUUCCAGCACAGGAAAAGAUUAGUAGAUAUUUUAAUAGCAACAAACAUAUAUUAAGCACAUUUUUAUGUUCCUGGCAUUGUUUAUUAUCACACAUGAAUUACUCUCAUCCCAUUUUCUCCUCACCACAAUCCUAUGAGAAGUUUCUAUUAUUAUCCCCAAUUUACAGCCAAGGAGCCUGAGCUCUGAAAAAUGAACUAAUGUUCCCACAGAUACACAGCCAAUAAGAGGGGAGAGCAGAGUUUUCAUCCUGAAAUUGCCUCCAGAGCUAGAGCCCUUGAUCCUUGCUCUGCAAAGCCCAGCUAUUGGCUGUCCUACAUGUGGGCCACCCUUUUUUAUUUUUCCCCCUUUUUUUUCAGCUGCGCCUGUGGCAUAUGGAAAUUCCCACGCCAGGGAUGGAAUCUGAGCUGGAGCUGUGACCUGCGCCACAGCUAUAGCAAUGCCAGAUCCUCAACCCACACUGCCACAGAGGGAACCCCAGGAAACUGACAAUUAAUUAGAAGUCAUGCCAACAGUACUGCUAGAAAGUCUCCCAGUUAUAACGGGGGGCGGCGGGGAGGGGAGCUUCCAGUUAUCUUUUCCUUUACACUGUGAUCCCUGACAUGAUGUUGCCGUUGCUCAGAACUGUUUACUGCCUGGAAUGUCCUGGGUGCACAACCUGGCUGUGCUUUUCCUGUCGUACUUGUCUGCAAGGCACAGUCUGUCUGCAAGGCACAGUCUCACAGAUUCCAUUAAACAGGUUUCCUUCCUCGGUUGCCAGCCCUGAUGCUCAGAUGUACUCCCUUGGUCUUCCUCACAAAGUGCCCUCUCUGCACCAGGCUGCAUGAUCUCUCCAGCUCAGUGUUGGUAGACCCUGCUGUAAUGGUCCAUAGCCUUGGUGGAAGCAAAAGGAUAUAGGACCCAUACUGGGUUGAAUAGUGUUCCCCCCAAACUUUCUGUCGACUUGGAACCUCAGGAUGAGAUCUCAUUUGAAAACAGGGUCUUUGCAGGUGUAACCUAGUUCAAAUUAGGUUAUCCUGCAUUAGGGUGGGCCCUACUCCACUGUCUGUUGUCCUUAGAAGAGAAAACGGAGACACAGAUGGACCCUCAAGGGAAAGGCCGUGUGAUGACCGAGGCAGAGGUUGCAGUGAUGCAGUAGGGACUGCUGGCAACACCAGAAGCCAGGAAGAAGCAAGGAAGGAUUCUUCUGCAGACCCUUCAGAGAGGGCAUAGCCCUGAUGACCUUGACUUCAGACUUUAGUUCCCGGAACUGUAAGAGCAUAAAUUCCAUUUGUGAUAAUUUGUUAUGGUGGCCUGAGGAAACUAAUAUCAUACUCACUGGUCAAAACUUGGCAGUCCUUCUGUGAAGAUUUGGUGGUACCCCCAUGUGCCAUGCAUACCAAUUAGUGCAGCACUGCGCUGAGAUCACCAUGAAGAAUGCAUUGAGAGGCACAGAAUGAUCCAUCUGGGAGGAUCCUUGGAGAUAAUGUAGUUCAGCCAGCUUCUUUUAAAGAUGUGGAAGAUAAAGUCCAAGAAGGGCAAGAGUCUUGUCCAGGGUCACAUGGCUAUUUGAUUGCAGGCCCUGUAUCUGUUUGGUUUACAUUGCAUCCCCUGUAACCUGGAACCCUGCCUGGUACCUAGCAGGUACUCAAUAAACAUUUGUUGAAUGAAUGAAUGAGUGGAUGGAUGGAUGCACCCUAAACGUCUGAUUAUGUUCUCACGGCCUGCUAUGAUUGAAACCAACACUAGUUUGUUUAAAUUGUCAAUUCUUUUCCUCCAAAUGCUUAGAUUAAUACCUACCAACUAUGAAUUGAUUUUUAUUGUUGAAAAUGUCAAGGCUUCUUGGAGAUCUAGCCAGAGAAAAUUUCCAAAAUUGAAGUAUAUUGCUCCAUAGGGUUUCCUUCACUACCCAAGAAAAUUUUCCUGUUCCAUUGGACAUUCUUCUUCAAUAAAUGGUUGAAUUUCAUAAAAAUAGUGCCACCUAAAAUUUGCUAAUAUUAUACUAAACCAUUGACUCUAGUUAUACUUGGCUUCAGGCCUUGAAGAUUGCUUCUUCACCUGUUGUU
rnacentral:lncRNA from 1 species